rnacentral:lncRNA from 1 species
CCCACAUCAUGUGGUCUCUGUAACCACAGGUGAAAAAUAUAAAAGGACAAGAAUACUCCAGAAAUUAUGGCCUCAGUAUCAUCAAGAACUGGAUACCUAUAUUCCAGAACAAAUACCUAUAUUCAGACUUACUCAUUUGGCCAGUUUGUGGCAUGCAGAGUGUUAGUUCACAGACCAGGAAUUGAACCUGCACACCACGCAGUGGAAAUGUGGAGUUUUAACCAUUGGACCUCCAGGGAAGUCACACCUACAGACUUUAAAAAAGUCAAUCAUCAAAGGCAGAAAGAAGCAUGAUAUCUUACCAUUUUAAGCCACCGUUGCACAUGUGUUGAUUUACUGGUGAAAGUCUCUACAGCUGAGCAGCUGCACCGUGGCUGCAACACCACCACACUCUUCUGAAGAAGAUGAAAAAAGGACGCACAGAAAGACUGCGUUUCUACAGCCUCCCUUGCAGUUAGGUUGGAGCAAAUGGAACUGGGUUAUGGGUAAAGGAAUCAGGGAAAUGCCUGCCCGUACAGCUUCACCCUUUCCUUGCGCUGUGAAAAAGUGCUGGCAAUCCCAUCAACAGCUCUCAUUAGGAGAUCUAAGAAUGCAACCACACAGCCUCAGCAAGGCCAGCCCGCCUUGUAAAACUUCAGGAAGAGAAGAGCAGCAAGGAGCCCACAUCAGCAUCUGCGCCAACAAUAUGUGCACAAAACACCCCCAGAAUAUGGAAUCUUGGUUUGUAGACCUAGGAUUGAACCUGUGCUUCCUACACUGGAAAGUAAAGUCUUACUCAUCGGAACAAGGAAUUCUCCUAUUCUAUGGUUUUCCAAAGGAGAAGGAAGAACCAAAGACAUGUAAGAUGGCCCAUGACCUCAACCGCAUUAAAUAAAAACACAACUCCUUUGUGG